rnacentral:rRNA from 1 species
UACGAAGGUCCCAAGCGUUAUCCGGAUUUAUUGGGUUUAAAGGGUGCGUAGGCGGGCUAUUAAGUCAGUGGUGAAAGCCCCCGGCCUAACCGGGGAACUGCCAUUGAUACUGAUGGUCUUGAGUACAUUUGAGGUGGGCGGAAUGUGUCAUGUAGCGGUGAAAUGCUUAGAUAUGACACAGAACACCGAUUGCGAAGGCAGCUCACUAAACUGUAACUGACGCUGAGGCACGAAAGCGUGGGGAGCAAACAGGA